GGUUGUUGCCCACUCUGCGCUCUCUCUCCCUGAUACGCAAUACUAUAUUCUCAGGGGGGCCUGCAGUGGAAAUGUCGAUCGUCACCGCUGAUGCAUUCCCAUGCGCAACGGAGUGCCGCUUCAUUGGCAUUGCGGCAGUGCCAUCUAUAUUUCCACAAGGAGCUAUGCCAAGGGUUAAACUCCUCUGCUUUGGCUUCCCCGCCGUGUGGAUUUCCCUCGGUGACUUUGCUUUCGGCAUGGGACACCUCCCCUCCCUGAAGUAUGUCCAGGUUGAGCUUCUAUGUGAAAAAGCAACUGACGUCGAGCUGGAGGAAGCAGAAGCUGCAGUGAGGGCCGCAGUGGAGGAGCAUCCCAACGGCAUGCACCUUAAUUUGUCCAGUUGGUAAUGUUGCCACAUUGCUAAAGGGGGAGGAAGAUGCAAAUGCUGCAUGUGAUGAGGUGGAGGGAUUGAUUCGUCAAACCACGAAAUCUGGUACUCCAUCAGUUAGUAGCACACUAGCACCAAACUACACGGUGGCAGCAACUAACAGAUUUCGUCGUCAUGGAUUCAAUAGAUCGCGCGGCAGCUUCCUACUUCCCAUGUGUCUGCUUCCGUUCCAACCAAGACUGUCAAGAGCAUUGUAUUUCUGUUACCGUUUGAUCAUCUUGUGCAACGAGGUAAAGCUCUCGUGCAUACUGUCCGCUUAUGUCUGAAAUUUCCUUGAGGGCAACUAAAGAACAAUGAGGUUUGUAGGGCAGACCCCAUGCAUUUUUCCCAUGAUGAACCAUUAAUUAUUUUCCUGGUUUGUUUCCACUGAUUUGUUUGUAACAUCAUUCAGACUUCCGGAGUUGUGAAUUGAAAUGUCGCUUUCGGUUUGUACAAGUAUUCUGAAGUUAUACCUUGUACUCCUUCCGUAAAAAAAUAUGAGAGUUAGAUCA